ACGGAGGGCGCAAGCGUUACUCGGAAUCACUGGGCGUAAAGAGCGUGUAGGCGGGAAUAUAAGUCAGAAGUGAAAUCCUAUAGCUUAACUAUAGAACUGCUUUUGAAACUGUAUACCUAGAAUGUGGGAGAGGUAGAUGGAAUUUCUGGUGUAGGGGUAAAAUCCGUAGAGAUCAGAAGGAAUACCGAUUGCGAAGGCGAUCUACUGGAACAUAAUUGACGCUGAGACGCGAAAGCGUGGGGAGCAAACAGG
rnacentral:rRNA from 1 species